rnacentral:lncRNA from 1 species
CUCUCUCUCUCUAUAUAUAUAUAUAUAUAUAUAUAUAUAUAUAUAUAAUAAGGUUUCUUCAAAUAUCUAACAUUAGUUAUAUAUGUGGUUUUGCAGAUAUUUUAAAAGUGGAUGACAUUCAAUUUUCAGGUAAUUCAUAUUAUUACUACUGUAUAUGUUGUUUUUAUGUCAAUUGUAUGUAUUUUUUAAGAAAACCUAUAUAUUUUGUAUAAAUGUAUUUCUAUAUAGGAUACCCUACAUUUACCCAGCUGUGACCUGCAAUAAUUGAUUUGAUCAUCAACCAUCAGAAGUUCUAAUUAUAGAAGACGAUGAUUUUGAGGAACAACCGAUCAAAGGUGUAUCUUUACUCUGUCCUACACCCUCAAGAUGAUUUAGACGUGAGUCGAAAAAUAAAAUGCGGAAUAAUCUUUAUUACAUUAAGCAUUAAACAAAUUGUGUACACUAUUUUAAAAACCUAAUCUUGUGUUUACAGCUGACAGGCCCCAGUAAAGAAUACCCAAGGCAUUAUGGGCUCUACCAUUGAAUGACUUUGAGGGUAUUGAAAAUGACAAUAUUCUACCGUUCUGUACGGCCGGCUUCGCCAAAACUCAAAAACAGCCCAAGAAUCGAAGAUUUAGCACAUAUAUAUAUAUAUAUACACACCUCCAAGAAGCCCCAGCCCUUCGGUAUAUAAUCCUGCGCCUACACCAUAUCCUAGUCCUGCACGGUUCCACAGAACAGCAGUUCAAAUACACAGAACACAGAAUACUGCAUCACCUCUUCCCGGGAAGGUCGACUGGUCUGAAAUGAUUGGAUUCAAGAGCCAUAUGGAUAUGGUAUGAACAGUUUUUUUUAUUAGUUAUAAAAAAAAUUAAAGAAUAUGUUAACUAUUUCAAAUAAUGUUGUGUUUUUCAGACUCAGAUACCUAUACAAAUCUUGCAGUCUAUACAUCAAGAGGACAUCAGGAUAGGAAACACAUCAUCAAGAAUUCUUCAGAAAAACAGGCAUCAAACAACCAAAGACUUCUCCCAGGCCUAUACAAACAUAGACCCAAUACACCAAGAGGAAGAGGAGGAAGAGGAUGCUGAUGUCAUACAGAGUAAAACAUCUAAACCGGUUGAUACAUUCAAUGCUGUUAAUGUCAAGGAUGAUUGAUGUUGCUGAUUAAGGGUUGA